UGGGGAAUAUUGGACAAUGGGCGAAAGCCUGAUCCAGCCAUGCCGCGUGUGUGAAGAAGGCCUUAUGGUUGUAAAGCACUUUAAGCGAGGAGGAGGGUACUGGUAUUAAUACUACCAGGUACUGGACGUUACUCGCAGAAUAAGCACCGGCUAACUCUGUGCCAGCAGCCGCGGUAAUACAGAGGGUGCGAGCGUUAAUCGGAUUUACUGGACGUAAAGCGUGCGUAGGCGGCUUUUUAAGUCGGAUGUGAAAUCCCCGAGCUUAACUUGGGAAUUGCAUUCGAUACUGGGAAGCUAGAGUAUGGGAGAGGAUGGUAGAAUUCCAGGUGUAGCGGUGAAAUGCGUAGAGAUCUGGAGGAAUACCGAUGGCGAAGGCAGCCAUCUGGCCUAAUACUGACGCUGAGGUACGAAAGCAUGGGGAGCAAACAGG
rnacentral:rRNA from 1 species